GGUUAAGCGACUAAGCGUACACGGUGGAUGCCCUGGCAGUCAGAGGCGAUGAAGGGCGUGCUAAUCUGCGAUAAGCGCCGGUAAGGUGAUAUGAACCGUUAUAACCGGCGAUACCCGAAUGGGGAAACCCAGUGUGACUCGUCACACUAUCAUUAACUGAAUCCAUAGGUUAAUGAGGCGAACCGGGGGAACUGAAACAUCUAAGUACCCCGAGGAAAAGAAAUCAACCGAGAUUCCCCCAGUAGCGGCGAGCGAACGGGGAGGAGCCCAGAGCCUGAAUCAGCAUGUGUGUUAGUGGAAGCGUCUGGAAAGGCGCGCGAUACAGGGUGACAGCCCCGUACACAAAAGCGCAUGUGCUGUGAGCUCGAUGAGUAGGGCGGGACACGUGGUAUCCUGUCUGAAUAUGGGGGGACCAUCCUCCAAGGCUAAAUACUCCUGACUGACCGAUAGUGAACCAGUACCGUGAGGGAAAGGCGAAAAGAACCCCGGCGAGGGGAGUGAAAAAGAACCUGAAACCGUGUACGUACAAGCAGUGGGAGCACAGGUUUACCUGUGUGACUGCGUACCUUUUGUAUAAUGGGUCAGCGACUUAUAUUCUGUAGCAAGGUUAACCGAAUAGGGGAGCCGGAGGGAAACCGAGUCUUAAUUGGGCGUUAAGUUGCAGGGUAUAGACCCGAAACCCGGUGAUCUAGCCAUGGGCAGGUUGAAGGUUGGGUAACACUAACUGGAGGACCGAACCGACUAAUGUUGAAAAAUUAGCGGAUGACCUGUGGCUGGGGGUGAAAGGCCAAUCAAACCGGGAGAUAGCUGGUUCUCCCCGAAAGCUAUUUAGGUAGCGCCUCGUGAAUUCAUCUCCGGGGGUAGAGCACUGUUUCGGCUAGGGGGCCAUCCCGGCUUACCAACCCGAUGCAAACUGCGAAUACCGGAGAAUGUUAUCACGGGAGACACACGGCGGGUGCUAACGUCCGUCGUGAAGAGGGAAACAACCCAGACCGCCAGCUAAGGUCCCAAAGUCAUGGUUAAGUGGGAAACGAUGUGGGAAGGCCCAGACAGCCAGGAUGUUGGCUUAGAAGCAGCCAUCAUUUAAAGAAAGCGUAAUAGCUCACUGGUCGAGUCGGCCUGCGCGGAAGAUGUAACGGGGCUAAACCAUGCACCGAAGCUGCGGCAGCGACGCUUAUGCGUUGUUGGGUAGGGGAGCGUUCUGUAAGCCUGUGAAGGUGGCCUGUGAGGGUUGCUGGAGGUAUCAGAAGUGCGAAUGCUGACAUAAGUAACGAUAAAGCGGGUGAAAAGCCCGCUCGCCGGAAGACCAAGGGUUCCUGUCCAACGUUAAUCGGGGCAGGGUGAGUCGACCCCUAAGGCGAGGCCGAAAGGCGUAGUCGAUGGGAAACGGGUUAAUAUUCCCGUACUUGGUGUUACUGCGAAGGGGGGACGGAGAAGGCUAUGUUGGCCGGGCGACGGUUGUCCCGGUUUAAGCGUGUAGGUGUGUGUUCCAGGUAAAUCCGGUUCACUUUAACACUGAGGCGUGAUGACGAGGCACUACGGUGCUGAAGUAACAAAUGCCCUGCUUCCAGGAAAAGCCUCUAAGCAUCAGGUAACAUCAAAUCGUACCCCAAACCGACACAGGUGGUCAGGUAGAGAAUACCAAGGCGCUUGAGAGAACUCGGGUGAAGGAACUAGGCAAAAUGGUGCCGUAACUUCGGGAGAAGGCACGCUGACACGUAGGUGAAGUGAUUUACUCAUGGAGCUGAAGUCAGUCGAAGAUACCAGCUGGCUGCAACUGUUUAUUAAAAACACAGCACUGUGCAAACACGAAAGUGGACGUAUACGGUGUGACGCCUGCCCGGUGCCGGAAGGUUAAUUGAUGGGGUCAGCGCAAGCGAAGCUCCUGAUCGAAGCCCCGGUAAACGGCGGCCGUAACUAUAACGGUCCUAAGGUAGCGAAAUUCCUUGUCGGGUAAGUUCCGACCUGCACGAAUGGCGUAAUGAUGGCCAGGCUGUCUCCACCCGAGACUCAGUGAAAUUGAACUCGCUGUGAAGAUGCAGUGUACCCGCGGCAAGACGGAAAGACCCCGUGAACCUUUACUAUAGCUUGACACUGAACAUUGAGCCUUGAUGUGUAGGAUAGGUGGGAGGCUUUGAAGCGUGGACGCCAGUCUGCGUGGAGCCGACCUUGAAAUACCACCCUUUAAUGUUUGAUGUUCUAACGUGGACCCGUGAUCCGGGUUGCGGACAGUGUCUGGUGGGUAGUUUGACUGGGGCGGUCUCCUCCUAAAGAGUAACGGAGGAGCACGAAGGUUGGCUAAUCCUGGUCGGACAUCAGGAGGUUAGUGCAAUGGCAUAAGCCAGCUUGACUGCGAGCGUGACGGCGCGAGCAGGUGCGAAAGCAGGUCAUAGUGAUCCGGUGGUUCUGAAUGGAAGGGCCAUCGCUCAACGGAUAAAAGGUACUCCGGGGAUAACAGGCUGAUACCGCCCAAGAGUUCAUAUCGACGGCGGUGUUUGGCACCUCGAUGUCGGCUCAUCACAUCCUGGGGCUGAAGUAGGUCCCAAGGGUAUGGCUGUUCGCCAUUUAAAGUGGUACGCGAGCUGGGUUUAGAACGUCGUGAGACAGUUCGGUCCCUAUCUGCCGUGGGCGCUGGAGAACUGAGGGGGGCUGCUCCUAGUACGAGAGGACCGGAGUGGACGCAUCACUGGUGUUCGGGUUGUCAUGCCAAUGGCACUGCCCGGUAGCUAAAUGCGGAAGAGAUAAGUGCUGAAAGCAUCUAAGCACGAAACUUGCCCCGAGAUGAGUUCUCCCUGAGACUUAGAGUCUCCUGAAGGAACGUUGAAGACGACGACGUUGAUAGGCCGGGUGUGUAAGCGCAGCGAUGCGUUGAGCUAACCGGUACUAAUGAACCGUGAGGCUUAACCUU
rnacentral:rRNA from 1 species